rnacentral:rRNA from 1 species
UAAGGAAUAUUGGUCAAUGGACGCAAGUCUGAACCAGCCAUGCCGCGUGAAGGAUGAAGGUCCUCUGGAUUGUAAACUUCUUUUAUCUGGGACGAAAACGGGAUUUUUAUCUCAAUUGACGGUACCAGAGGAAUAAGCACCGGCUAACUCCGUGCCAGCAGCCGCGGUAAUACGGAGGGUGCGAGCGUUAUCCGGAUUUACUGGGUUUAAAGGGUGCGUAGGCGGGCUUGUAAGUCAGUGGUGAAAUCUCUCAGCUUAACUGAGAAACUGCCAUUGAUACUGCAGGCCUAGAGUAUAGAUGACGUUGGCGGAAUAUGACAUGUAGUGGUGAAAUACUUAGAUAUGUCAUAGAACACCGAUUGCGAAGGCAGCUAACGAAACUAUAACUGACGCUGAGGCACGAAAGUGCGGGGAUCAAACA